CUGCUGCCUUCCGUAGGAGUUUGGACCGUGUCUCAGUUCCAAUGUGGGGGACCUUCCUCUCAGAACCCCUACGCAUCGUCGGCUUGGUGGGCCGUUGCCCCACCAACUACCUAAUGCGCCGCAUGCCCAUCCGUGACCGGGGUCGCCCCCUUUGGCCGGCAGGGGAUGUCCCCCUCCCGGCAUUAUGUUGUAUUAGGCGGGAUUUCUCCCGGUUAUCCAUCUGUCACGGCCAGGUUGCAUACGUGUUACUCACCCGUGCGCCGGUCGCCGGCGG
rnacentral:rRNA from 1 species